AGAACGAACGCUGGCGGCAUGCCUAAUACAUGCAAGUCGAACGAACUCUUCGGAGUUAGUGGCGCACGGGUGCGUAACGCGUGGGAAUCUGCCCUUGGGUUCGGAAUAACAGUUGGAAACGGCUGCUAAUACCGGAUGAUGACGAAAGUCCAAAGAUUUAUCGCCCAGGGAUGAGCCCGCGUAGGAUUAGCUAGUUGGUGAGGUAAAGGCUCACCAAGGCGACGAUCCUUAGCUGGUCUGAGAGGAUGAUCAGCCACACUGGGACUGAGACACGGCCCAGACUCCUACGGGAGGCAGCAGUAGGAAUAUUGGACAAUGGGCAAAGCCUGAUCCAGCAAUGCCG
rnacentral:rRNA from 1 species